UGAAAAGCGAAGACAGGGAAGAGUACAACGAAUAACCCUUUCAGAGAGGGAAAUCAAUAGCUGCGAGAUUUCCUAGGACGUUAUCGUUGGAAGGUCGCCCUUGAGCUGCUUCUUUGAACAGCGCUUAGCUUAGUAAAAGAAGCCGGUUGCAGCCGUUAAUGCCUGAGGUGCCUAAGCGUUUUUUGGUUUGCUUAGGAAAAAAGGUGGUACCGCGAAAGAGAUCUCCUUUCGUCCUUUUC
rnacentral:ncRNA from 1 species